UGCCCUAGUAACGGCGAGUGAAGCGGCAACAGCUCAAAUUUGAAAUCUGGCCUCGGCCCGAGUUGUAAUUUGCAGAGGAUGCUUCUGGCGCGGUGCCUUCCGAGUUCCCUGGAACGGGACGCCACAGAGGGUGAGAGCCCCGUAUGGUCGGACACCAAGCCUGUGUGAAGCUCCUUCGACGAGUCGAGUAGUUUGGGAAUGCUGCUCUAAAUGGGAGGUAAAUCUCUUCUAAAGCUAAAUACCGGCCAGAGACCGAUAGCGCACAAGUAGAGUGAUCGAAAGAUGAAAAGCACCUUGAAAAGGGGGUUAAAUAGUACGUGAAAUUGUUGAAAGGGAAGCACUUAUGACCAGACUUGGGCCGGGCGGCUCAUCAGGGGUUCUCCCCUGUGCACUCCGCCCGGCACAGGCCAGCAUCGGUUUUCGCGGGGGGAUAAGACCGACGGGAACGUAGCACCCUCCGGGGUGUGUUAUAGCCCGGCGGACGAUACCCUCGCGGGGACCGAGGACCGCGCUUCGGCAAGGAUGCUGGCGUAAUGGUCAUCAGUGACCCGUCUUGAAACACGGACCAAGGAGUCGUCCAUUAGAGCGAGCGUUUGGGUGUAAAACCCGCACGCGUAAUGAAAGUGAACGCAGGUGAGAGCUUCGGCGCAUCAUCGACCGAUCCUGAUGUUCUCGGAAGGAUUUGAGUAAGAGUUUUAACGGACGGACCCGAAAGACAGUGAACUAUGCUUGUAUAGGGUGAAGCCAGAGGAAACUCUGGUGGAGGCUCGCAGCGGUUCUGACGUGCAAAUCGAUCGUCAAAUAUGAGCAUGGGG
rnacentral:rRNA from 1 species